UGAGCAUGUGAGUCUGUUUAUUAUCUUGUCCAAGUCACCUCGUGUGAUGCAAAGAUCAGUGGACUCAUAGCACAUUAGUUACAAAAUGAUCAAUUAAUAGCAGAGAAGUGUGUAGGAAAGGCAGCUUUAAGAACAUGCCCUGCUGGAGAUGCAGCUCCACAGACAUCGAUUAAACCUGCCUAAUAACACAAACACACAGGCAAUGAAAAUCAGCUUGUUAUCUCUCAUCAGUGUUAAAAUUGUGCCAAUUUAGCAGACACCUGUUAUCAAAUGCUGAAUUUAUCCAAUGCUGACAGUUAACUCUCUAGGUUGCAGGACAACAGUUUAAUUUUUGUGAAAAAAAGAUUCUGAUUUGACCAACCAGUGAUCAGACAAUAAAUGUAGUUGUUAAUAUAGUAAAUUGGGAGAUGCUUUCUGCUUGACUGAUGCAGCACAAGUAAUUUACUGUAUGCGGGCAAUUCUAUUUUUGUGAUAAUAUUUUGAACAUGCAUUUCUUUUUUUUUUUCUUUCUUUUUUUUUCUUUUUUUUUUUUUUGUCUGUCCCAUUUGGUUCUUAAGCCGUCAGAACUGUUGUCUGAAGACCAACAAGGAUACCAAAUGGAUUUAUUUUGCCAAAUGGAUCAUCAUGGCAUUGCCGUAUUGGUCCAUUUGAUCAAACUUUGUUAUUUUUAUUUAUUUUAUUUUCAGUUGUUACAGAUGGGACAGACAUGACUGGGGGAUAGGAAAGGGAGAAAGAAAGAGAGGAAAGAAAAGAAAAACAGAAGGGAAAAGGGACAGUGAGAAAGGGCACUUAUAAAGAGAAAGAGAAAGAAAAAAAAAAAAUCUCCUGGAUCACCUGUUGAGAGAAAAAGGAGAAGACAAGCAAAAAAAAACAAAAAAACAAAAAACAAAGCAACAUACUAAACACAACACCAUCACGUUAAUCUAGCUGAGUGUGAACAGCAGUAAAUACUAAAUAUUGAAAGUUGUUGUGCAGCACACAGGACAGACAGCGCACAAUGUGCUUUGAAGUAGCAGCUAAGAAAGGUGUAGUUUGUCUACGAACAGUGAACACCCGUGUGUACACCUGUGUGGAUCAACGCGCUUGUAUACAAAAAGGUUUCCCCAGUAACGGUCUGCUAGAUGGGUUGGAGGCCCAUAGCCCCGUCCCCCAGGGCAUGAAGCAGGCAUGGAGGAGAUCCAGGCUCCAGACAUCCAGAGGCCCCAGAGUGCGAGAGCCCAAGGAGGACCACCGGAGGGGCAUCCGUGCCACCUUCCUGGGAAGGGCUGAGGAGAUCCCCAG
ensembl:lncRNA